CUUUGUGGCUAAUGUCCGCUACUCGGGCUGCUCCUCCGCUGUAGCUGGGGCUCCGUCCGGCGGGGAGCCCUGCGGCAGAUCCCGAAGUCGCCGCUGUCAGCUGGAGAGCCCCGUGGAGCCCCCUCGGGCACGCGCCUACGCUGUGCUUUAACCCGGAAGCUAAAAAUAGGGUGCGUGCGGCGAGCCGCGAGGAAGGCAGGUGUGGAGCUGGUGUCUCGCUAGCGGGCGCACGGAGCUGUGGUGUCGCCGCUCGGGGUCCUUCCCCAUGGGACUGAGGGAGAGGGAGAGAGCGGACCCGGCGACUGAGAAGCGCAGAGGUGGUCAGCGUCUGGGUGAGAGCCGCGGGAACGCCGCCUGGGCCGCCCCAGGCAGUACGGGGGCCAGGAGGUCCGGCGUGGCGAGGACGCAGGCUUAGUUAAUGUGACCUAGAUGGUUGUAGGGGAAGCAAGGCGUCCGGACUUGAGGCUGCUUGACAGGGCUCAGGUUUCUCAGGUAGGGGAGUGGGGCUGGGUGAGUGUGUAACCUGGGAGACAAGACGUUAUUAGUACUGUCUCGCGCUGGCGGGUGGUGGGGAGGGCUCUCUCUACUCAGCCUUGUGAGCUCAGGGCCCGGGUUUAACAGAAAUUGAAGGAGCAUACACAUCUCUGUAUACAUCAGAUCGUGUUUGUUCCUCAUCUCCAAAUCUAGUAAAUGGUUACUACCAUAUUUCGUUUGAAUUUAGAAGACUCACGCUUUUGAGAGCUGAAGUUGACUUUUUGCGUCCAUUGUAUCAUGUUUUUAAUCCAAGCUAAGCAUUUCAGAGUUACAGAAUUCCUCACUAAAUUCAUUCGUAAGCCAAUCCUUUUAUUAAUACUGGCUCAGAACAAAGCCCACACAAACUAAGGGCCUCCAUGUUUGCUGAAUAUUUCAGUAUAUGAAUGGGACCAAUUGGCAAAUACACAAAAUUUUAAACAAAUUUAUGUUCAGUGCAGAUUUUAAAAUGUUACUACCUUAAAUGCACACCAGCACUACAUGCUAUAAACAGUAACUAAAGAAAAAAAAAAUUAGAGCUUGCAUUAAGUUCUGCCAAAAGCAGGGUUUGGUGCUGCAUGCCUUUAGUCAAAGAACUGCAGGGGCAGGAAAGCUCUGAGCUCAAGGUCAGCCUACACUACAUAGCAGGUUCCAGGACUACAUAGAGGCCCUGUCUUAAAAACAAACAGGAACAAUCUGCAGCCUGUAUUUUAUUAAAAUUUUCUGUGAUUGGGGAUGCGGCCCCGUGGUAGAAUGCCUGUCUAGCAUGAACCUGAGUUCACUGUCAAGGAGUGGCAAAGAUGUAGCUUACUAGCAAAGUAAAAGUGUUACCUAUCAUUCCUAAGACCCUGAGUUCGUUCCCAGCACUGAGAAAAGUUCCCGUUUACAGAGUUAGGAAUUUAAUGAGGACUGAAAGAUAACUGAAAAGGAGAUAAUCUCACCAUGUAAUCAUGUUAAUAUUGCAUUCUUACACUUCUAAAAUUUUUUCUCUCAGUGGUAGGAGUUUGAUAUAGUAGGAGAUAUGACUGUUAGUACUUCAUCAAUAUAUUUAGUCUUGAACGUACUUACUUUCAAUGUUACAAGUUUUUAGAGGCUUUUUUCCUAUGCUGUAAGUUACAAUGCUUUCAUGUAUUGUAGGAAAGAAGAGGUUACACCUGGGCCCCGAGAGGCUCUGGAAACUCCUCCCCAAGCACAAAACCCAACUGUACUAAGCUUUUUGUGAGCUAUUUCAGCCCAGAAUGGCUGUGGAAUCCAGAGCAAUUUCAACUUUAAAACCUCAGGACCAUCAAGAAGAAUUAAUACUAGUGAAAAUAGAAGAUAGUAGCUUUUCUUGGAGUCAGAAAUGUAAACAGAAUGGGAGUGCCCAAUCUUGCCAAGAAUUAUUUCGCCAGCAAUUCAGGAAGUUUUGCUAUCAUGAAACACCUGGGCCCCGAGAGGCUCUGGGGCGACUCCAGGAACUUUGCCAUCAGUGGCUAAUGCCAGAGUUGCACACAAAGGAGCAGAUCCUAGAACUGUUAGUGCUGGAGCAGUUCCUGAGCAUCCUACCUGAAGAGCUGAAGAUAUGGGUUCAACAACAUGGUCCAAAAAGUGGUGAGGAAGCUGUGACUCUACUGGAGGAUUUGGAGAAAGAGUUUGAUGAUCCGGGGCAGCAGGUGAUGUGUUUGGGGGAAAAAUUGCAGCCCUAGAUGUAGUAUCUUUGCUGGUUAAAAUGUUGUCUCUGAGGAACCGUGACCUUGAUGUCCCAGUAGCACAUCUUUACCUCUUCAACCUUUUUCCUCCCCAUCCUUCAUUUGUGGCACUGGCCUUAUUAUAACCAUGUAAGAUUCCUACUAAUUAUAUUGUACUGGUUUCAGGUCCCAGAUAAUCUACAAGGACCGUCAGUGUCAUGGAAAGAUUUGACAUAUCUCAAAACAUCCCAAGAUUCAACCAGCAUCCAAGUCCGGCCUUUGAAGACACAGCUGAAAUCCUGGAAUCCUUGCCUUUCCUCUAAAAGUGGUAGGAAUAGAAACUUAUUUGCAAAUGUAUGGAAGUUAGGCCUCUGGUUUUGAAGAUGCAGACUUGCAUUUAUGUACUUGUUGCAUGCGAACAUUUGUAUUAAUCAAAACCAGAGGUGCCCACUGGAGCAACUUUGUAAUCAGCAACCCUCACAGGAGUUGUAGUCAUCCUUCUUUGUAUGAGUUUCCCUGCCAUUGAUUCACUUAACCAUUUCCUAAUUUUGUGGAGUGCUAAAAAUGUCUAAUAGUGACGGUGUUUCCAUCUUCAAGUAAUUUUCAGACCUUCAUUAGUGGUUCAUAGAAAAGCAGAUGCAUCCUAGUACAGUACAUUAUGGAAUGUAAGGAGGCCGUCUGUAGGGGCCGUGGCAGCACAUAAAGUGACACCAGGCCCCAUAUGACAAUCACGGAGGGUAGGAAAGUUGGCUUAGCAGUUAAGAGCAUAUGUGGUGGCUCUUGCAGUGCACCUGGGCUUAGUUCUUAGCAUUCACAUGGCAGCUUGCAACCAUCUGUAACUACAGAUCUGACAUCAUUUAUUGACCACCCCCAGUACCAUAUAUGCACAUGAUCCAUAACAUACAUGGAGGCAAAAUACCUGUACACAUGAAAUAAUAAAUCUAAAAAGAAAUAAAUAAAUGAAUGAAAUUUAAAGACAUAAUCAAGGAAUACUUCCUGGAGGGAGAAAUACCUAAGCUAUAAUUUGAAUUACAAGCAGGAGAAAGCCAGGUAAAUAGAUAAUAGAAAGCCAUUAAAGUGAGAGAAUAUAGCCCAUUAUAGAAAUUAUAGAUACUUCAGUUUGACUUGAGAACUGAUAAGGAAUAAUGAAAGAAACUAAAGGAAGAAAUGAGGUACAAGUUGCUAAAACCUGUUACACUGUUUAUAUCUACCUGUGACAGGUGCAGUUGACGGAAAUGGAUAAGGAAGUGGCAUUAUUAGAACUCAGCUCCAGAGUAUAGAAAUGAUUUGAAAAAGGCAAGAUUAGAGACCACAGUAAAUGAGGAAACUUGUGUUACUCUGGGGCAUAGAGAAGACUGAAGCUGAAAUCUGUUCCUCAGCAUUGAAAAAGCAUUGCAGGAGGUACUCAUUAUUAAAAGCAAAUCAUG
rnacentral:lncRNA from 1 species